rnacentral:misc_RNA from 1 species
UGCUAGCCGUGAUGGAAGUGGAAAGCCUUUUUUUAUAAAAUUGUAUUUUUUCUUGGCUAAAAAGAGCGACCAGCGGAAGCUCCUUUUUAG